GUGGUGGGGCAGAUGACUCUGCUGAGGCGGCAAGACAGGACCUGGAUGGAGACGCACUGUGGAUAGACUAUUCCUACAGUGAUCUGGAAUCGGAUGAUCCUGGAGAGGGACCUUCAAAUGGACCGGUGGGCACAUGGCAGACACGGCCUCGGGGAGAGGACUCCCUGGUGCGCCGCAGCCCAAGAAGGUCGGGAGCCGAAAGGUGAAGGGAGAAAUCCCGGUCGCCCAGGGAGAGAACGCAACGGCAGAGGGAAAGGCAAUCGCCCACGUGGGGGAGGCUCGAUAGGUCACGUGAGAGGAGCAGUCGGAGGAGGAGAUCUCGAUCGCCAUCCCAGAGGAGGCGAACACAUAUGCCCAGAGAAAAGGAGACUAGAACGCAGCCUGAGGCUGGGACAAGGAUAGCUGCAGAAGCAAUGGGAGUAGCAGGAGCUACAAUGGCACCCAGAAACAGAGUGGGUGAGGUUUCGGGAAGUGGUGCCAGAAGCGGAGAAGGAAGGAAUCAGUUGCCCGCCGGACUUGCUGGAGCUGGAGGCUUGGAGCUAAUCAGAGUUGCAAGGGGAGCGUUAGCUCCAGGUACGUGGAGUGCUUAUGUUAGAACAUGGAAGCAAUGGUUGAAGGU